rnacentral:rRNA from 1 species
UGGGGAAUUGCUCGCAAUGGGCGCAAGCCUGACGACGCAACGCCGCGUGGAGGAUGAAGGUCUUCGGAUUGUAAACUCCUGUCGAGCGGGACGAACACUCACCGGAUUAAUACCUUGGUGAGCUAACGGUACCGCGAGAGGAAGCCCCGGCUAACUCUGUGCCAGCAGCCGCGGUAAUACAGAGGGGGCAAGUGUUGUUCGGAAUUACUGGGCGUAAAGGGCGCGUAGGCGGCCUUCUAAGUCAGACGUGAAAUCCCUCGGCUCAACCGGGGAACUGCGUCUGAGACUGAAAGGCUUGAAUCCGGGAGAGGGAUGUGGAAUUCCAGGUGUAGCGGUGAAAUGCGUAGAUAUCUGGAGGAACACCGGUGGCGAAGGCGGCAUCCUGGACCGGUAUUGACGCUGAUGCGCGAAAGCCAGGGGAGCAAACGG